GUCAAAAAGUCGGUAACCUUGAAAGAAAAAAAGGAUCUUUGGAACGAAGCGAUUGUUUAUUACCAAAUAGAUGACAUUUUUAAUGGAACGCAACGUAGAUUAAUAAAACAAGGUAUACGUAUGUGGGAAGAGUCAAGUUGCAUUCAAUUUGUCCAAAGAAAUUCUAUUAUUCAUCGAGAUUAUGUCGCCAUCACUAAAUUGGAUUGCGGGUGUUGUUACAAGGAGAAUUAUCAAGGUCGCAGAAAUAAAGGUCGCAGUGAAUUGAGCUAAGCUGAUGGAUGUGAAGAAAUAGAGAUUAUUCUUCAUGAAUUGGGGCACGUUUUGGGCUUUUACCAUGAGCACCAACAUCCAGACCGCGACCAGUGGGUUCAAAUCAACGAGAGGAAUAUUGAUCAAGGUUAUGAACCAGAAUUAUGGCGGCUCGCGAGCGCAUGUCGAUACUUUAGGACUGCCUUACGAUUAUCAAUCUGUGAUGCAUUAUCCAGGCGA